AUUGAACGCUGGCGGCAUGCCUUACACAUGCAAGUCGAACGGCAGCACGGGUGCUUGCCCCUGGUGGCGAGUGGCGAACGGGUGAGUAAUACAUCGGAACAUGUCCUUUAGUGGGGGAUAGCCCGGCGAAAGCCGGAUUAAUACCGCAUACGAUCCACGGAUGAAAGCGGGGGACCUUCGGCCCUCGCGCUAUAGGGUUGGCCGAUGGCUGAUUAGCUAGUUGGUGGGGUAAAGGCCUACCAAGGCGACGAUCAGUAGCUGGUCUGAGAGGACGACCAGCCACACUGGGACUGAGACGCGGCCCAGACUCCUACGGGAGGCAGCAGUGGGGAAUUUUGGACAAUGGGCGAAAGCCUGAUCCAGCAAUGCCGCGUGUGUGAAGAAGGCCUUCGGGUUGUAAAGCACUUUUGUCCGGAAAGAAAUCCUUGGCUCUAAUACAGUCGGGGGAUGACGGUACCGGAAGAAUAAGCACCGGCUAACUACGUG
rnacentral:rRNA from 1 species